rnacentral:rRNA from 2 species
GAUUUGACAUUAGACGAGUGGCGAACUGGUGAGUAACACGUGGGUAACCUGCCCUUGAAGUAGAGGAUAACACUUGGAAACAGGUGCUAAUACUGCAUAACAACGAAAACCGCCUGGUUUUCGUUUGAAAGAUGGCUUCGGCUAUCGCUUUAGGAUGGACCCGCGGCGUAUUAGCUAGUUGGUGAGGUAACGGCUCACCAAGGCAAUGAUACGUAGCCGACCUGAGAGGGUAAUCGGCCACAUUGGGACUGAGACACGGCCCAAACUCCUACGGGAGGCAGCAGUAGGGAAUCUUCCACAAUGGACGAAAGUCUGAUGGAGCAACGCCGCGUGAGUGAUGAAGGGUUUCGGCUCGUAAAACUCUGUUGUUGGAGAAGAACGGGUGUCAGAGUAACUGUUGACAUCGUGACGGUAUCCAACCAGAAAGCCACGGCUAACUACGUGCCAGCAGCCGCGGUAAUACGUAGGUGGCAAGCGUUGUCCGGAUUUAUUGGGCGUAAAGCGAGCGCAGGCGGUUUUUUAGGUCUGAUGUGAAAGCCUUCGGCUUAACCGGAGAAGUGCAUCGGAAACCGGGAGACUUGAGUGCAGAAGAGGACAGUGGAACUCCAUGUGUAGCGGUGAAAUGCGUAGAUAUAUGGAAGAACACCAGUGGCGAAGGCGGCUGUCUGGUCUG